rnacentral:lncRNA from 1 species
CCUACAAUAAGCAUUCAACUCCGACAAGGCUAACAAUAUGUAAUCUUUAGCAAAAGAGAGAAAAAUGAGAGAACAUCACCAAAAACGUAGCUGCUGAAAAAUGGGUAUUUCCGACGCUACAAGUCUCGGAUGAAAAAUCCGACCGUACAAAGUCAAGAACACCUUAUCACCUAGCUGCUGUCCAAAAAUCAGCUCAAUCGAACCACGGAUGGACCUUCGAUCGAAGAGUUGAUCACUGCUGCACCAAGCUUGAAAAACUGAUUUUUCUAUUCUCUCUUUUUCUCCAACGAGCUUCAAUUUCACUCUCUUUCUCUCUGGAUGUAAUUGAGAAUUUUGCUCUCAAUUAAGAAUGCUGCCCACUCCCACGUUAAAAGGCCAAAAAAUUGGCUUUUGACAAAA